rnacentral:rRNA from 1 species
GUGGGGAAUUUUGCGCAAUGGGCGAAAGCCUGACGCAGCGACGCCGCGUGAGGGAUGAAGGUCUUCGUGAUCGUAAACCUCUGUCAGGGAGGAUUAAAUGUGUAGGUGCUAAUACCACCUAUGCUUGACUUAACUCCCAGAGGAAGCCCCGGCUAACUACGUGCCAGCAGCCGCGGUAAUACGUAGGGGGCAAGCGUUACUCGGAUUUAUUGGGCGUAAAGCGAAUGUAGGCGGUUUCAUAAGUCAGAGGUGAAAUCCCUCAGCUUAACUGAGGAAUUGCCUUUGAUACUACGGAACUUGAGGACAGGAGAGGAAAGUGGAAUUCCCGGUGUAGCGGUGGAAUGCGUAGAUAUCGGGAGGAACACCAGAGGCGAAGGCGGCUUUCUGGACUGAUCCUGACGCUGAGAUUCGAAAGCCAGGGGAGCAAACAGGAUUAGAUACCCGUGUAGUCC